AUUCUGCCCAUGCGGGGAAGGAUGAGAAGCUUCGACCAAGGUUCGACUCGAGCGCCAGCGAGAGAGCGUUGCCGCAGGCAACGACCCGAAGGGC
rnacentral:sRNA from 1 species